GGAGGGAUGGCUGAGUGGUCGAAAGCACCGGUCUUGAACUUGAAAACCGGCAAGGGUUAAUAGCCCUUCUAGGGUUCAAAUCCCUAUCCCUCCGCCA
rnacentral:tRNA from 1 species